UCAGAUAAACACACAUCUGUUUGAUAUGGAAACAUAAUGCACUUGGCUUUGGAGCCAGCAUCCUGUAUUUCCUUGAGUCUCACAUAUACAAAGUAACUACAAGGUGGGAUAUUUGCUCUUACCUCCCCCAUUAGGAGGAGAAGAGGUAAAGAGAGGAAAAAGGUGGCUCAGGAAUGUCAUGAAAUCUCUGUCCUAGUGUGUAUUUUACUAUGGGGUUCCAGAUGAAUCCAAUAAAAGGAAGUGCACAUGCCCUGUCCUGAACGUACACACGCGUGCACGCGCGUGCCCAUACACACACACAUAUACACACCAACUUAUGAUCGUGAAGCACUACACAGAUUAGUUACAGGAGCAUUAGCUCAAGAAAGAGAAAAAAUAUUUUUUAAAGCACUGUAGAGAUGAGAAACACUUUCAAAUAUACCAUCAUUUAUUCUUCUUGAUAAUUCAAUGAGGGAAGUAAUCUUACCAAACUGUUUUAACAGAUACGGGAACCAAGGCUCAGAGAAUUUAAGCAACAUUCCCAACAUCACACAGCUAGGAAGAGGAGAGCCUGACUCUCUACAUGGUUAUUUGGCCUCCAGACCCCUCCCUUCUGCCUGUACCAUGCUGUGAGGCACCUGCACUGGGCCUCCCACUCAGAAUUCUGGGCUUCUGGAAGCUACUGAGAGGUGCUUGUUCACUCCAGCCUCUUCUGUGUACUACAUUGCUUUUAUGUAUGGUGCACAGUUGGGGUAAACAUUUCCAGGCUACACUUACAAGUGUAGUCUGGGACUUUACACAUAUUUGUGGCCCAAAUAGUUACUGAGAGUGAAGUUUUCAACAGGUCUGAAUGGGAAUCUCUUUGGCAUUUCCUGAGUAAACCUGUGAUUUGGAAGCUUGCCUCUGAAGGGCAUUGGAUAAAUGAAGCAAAUGGUUAUCUCUGGUAAUUUUCAUGGUUUAGUCUUCCAUGAAGACUGAGGUCUUCCUUGUCUCUUGUACUCCUGUGGCACCCCAAAUCAAGUGAGGCAGCCCGAGGUCUGUUUCAACAGCAGCUGGAAAAGGUGGUCUUCUGUGUGGCGUGAAUGAAACAGUUUCCUGCCCUAUAAAGGUUCCCCUUCCAUUUCAGUUUAGUCCAACAAACAUUUACCAAGCACCUACUGUAUACCAAAAGGCACUAGGGACACAAAGAUGAAUAGGAAGCCCCCAGGUUAAUUGAGAGGCUGUGCAAGUCAGAGUCAUCUCCUACAGAGCAGUACUUCUAACAUUCAGAAGCAGGUAAGAGGUGGCAAAGAAAAGGCUGCCAUUCGCUUUGUCAGGGAGGAGAAUAGCUAGAGAAAAGGGAAUGAGAUGAAGAAGGCUCUCGGAAGAAAAGUCCUUCUAAGCAACCCUGAAGGAUGAAGAAAAGUUUGCCAGGCAGCAAAAGCAAAGAAAGCCAUCCCAGGAAGCGGAAGUGGAAGAAGCGGAAGUGGAAGAAGCGGCUCUGUCCAAAGUCGCAGAGGGUGAAACGGGGCUUUCUCUUCCUGUUCAGGAUCUACCAGCAAUUUGGGACUGCUGCUGUAGGGGAGGGAGAGGACAGGCGGGAAUUGUCUGUUGAAUGCUUCCAGGACCAGAACUAGCACAGAAAAAAAUCUGAAGGUCCCUAAGCCAAACUGCUAAUCACAGAUGCAGCAGAGAGCAUUUGGGGUUCUAGAAGGACUUUUGGGAGGUCUUCAAGCAACACAAUGCUCAACAGCAUACAUAAAACACUGUCCUGAUCUGCCUGGUGGAAAUCCAUGGCCCUGGAAGAUGAGGGUUCCAGAAGUUACCGGAACAGAGCAGGUGUGAGGCCACCUACGUAUGCAGUUGUCAUUUUGGAACCCCCAAGCCCCUUUAAUCCAAUUCUACCUCCCAGUUUUCUUCUGAAGUUAGCUGGUGGCCCAAAGAGCAGGAAAUGGAGUGGAGAGACUCCAGGCAAGGACAGCUGUGCCCUGGGCUCCUGAACACAACUGCCAGGGCACUCAACCCUCCUUCCCUCUCAGAAGAGCCCUCCACUGGGGUCCUCCCACUGCCACCACCAGAUCCCUCUUUCCUUUCUCCUGCACUGCCUUUCCUAGCUUUCCCAGGCCACACUCACUCAAGUCCCCUUCCUCCACAAAAGCCUUCUUUUCACACUGCCUCCAUCUUAAGCCAAACACCUCCAUCUCUUUAUCACCCUAUUCCUCGAAAGGGAAUUCUACAGUCCAAGUCUCCAUCAUUUCCUUGACUCCUACUCACCCCUCAGUGGCAGCAAGCUUGACAUCCACUCUCACUGUGGACCAGACAGACACCAGGCAGAGGCUAUCCUUGCCUGCCUGACUUCCAAGUUCCUAGCCAACUUUUAGGCUUCAGACUCUACUGUAUUGCUCCGUAUGCUCUGAUGCUGUUGGUUUUCCCCACCUUCAUGAACAUCUCUCCUUUGUGAGCAUGGCUCCCCUCCUGUCCCUUUGACCUUCCUUCCUAGUUUCAUCUAUAGACAUCCACUCCUCAGCCUGUCCCUUAAGUGCCCUUCUCCAGGUCUGUCCUUGGUCCUCUUCCCACUCUGCACAUCCUCCCCAGGUAAUCCCAUUCCCUCUCAUCACUCCAUGUAAUAUGAUCCAGUGGCAACUCCCCAAUAUGCAUCUUCAGUCCUGCCUGUCUCCUGGGCUCCAGAUCCAAAUUUCUUGCCAUGCAUUGGGCUCCCAAAGCUCAUUCUCUGCCCCUCCUUCUCCUCCCAUCAUCUGGAUAAGUUUGUUCCACCUCCUGUCUUCUUGAUGAUAGGUUGUGGUUCCACCAAUGUUCAGCAUCUCAAGCUAGAAUUCUCAGCCAUGUUUAACUCAUCCCUCUUCUUUGCUGUCCAUGCCCAACCUGUCGCCAAAAUCUUCCUGAUCUUAUCUCAGAAUUAUCUCUUAAAGCUGGGUCUCUCCAUGCCUACUGAAAUAGUAAUAAUAAUAGCACAUAUACAGUGUAUAUGUUCAAGAUACUUGUCUAAGAGUUAGCUACAUAUCAUUUGACCCUCACAAUAACCCCGUGAGACAGAUAUCACUAUUCUCCCCACUUUAUAGAUGGGAAGAUUGAGGCACAUGGAGAUUGGAGAACUUGCCCAAGGUCACAUGGUCAGGUAGUGCUGGAGCUAGGAUUCACAGCCAGGCAGCCAGGCUCUAUGUUUGUGUGCAUUUCCUUCCUUCCUUCCUUCCUUCCUUCCUUCCUUCCUUCCUUCC
rnacentral:lncRNA from 1 species